rnacentral:rRNA from 1 species
UGAGGAAUAUUGGUCAAUGGGCGGGAGCCUGAACCAGCCAAGUCGCGUGAGGGAUGACGGCCCUAUGGGUUGUAAACCUCUUUUUGCCGGGGAGCAAAGUGCCGCACGUGUGCGGUUUGGAGAGUACCCGGNGAAAAAGCAUCGGCUAACUCCGUGCC